GUCACCCUGCGCUGUGUGGCGGGGCGGGCGCGUGUCGCUGCCGCGGCCGGGGGGGAUCGGGAGGAGCGCGGAGCCAGGGAACGGCCAGGGACGGACCUCUGGGGGUCAUCCCGUCCGAGCCCUGCCCGGGCAGGGUCACCUGGAGCAGGUGGCACAGGAACGCGUCCAGGUGCAACGCAGGAAAUCGACUUGCAUUUUGGGUCUUCAGAACGCUUCACUAUUAUUUCAGACACCAUUUAAAUAAUAUUUAAACCAAGUUUUAAUAAAUAAAAGAAGAAAUAAUAUAUAAUAGUACGUGACAAUAAUGUGUAUUUUUAAAAAAUAAAUAUUACUAAAUAAACCAGCAAAUAUGGUUGCA